rnacentral:snRNA from 1 species
UUGCUCGUUUUGGCAGCACAUACAUUAAAAUUGGAACUAUAUAGAGAAGAUUGGCAAAGCCCCUGCACAAGGGUGACAUGCAAAUUUGUGAAGCAUUCCAUAUUUAA